GACGAACGCUGGCGGCGUGCCUAACACAUGCAAGUCGAACGGAGUUGAUCUUUCGGGAUUAACUUAGUGGCGAACGGGUGAGUAACGCGUGAGAAACCUGCCUUUCAGUGGGGGACAACAGUUGGAAACGACUGCUAAUACCGCAUAAUGUUUCGAGAGGGCAUCCUUUUGAAACCAAAGCUUUAUGUGCUGAAAGAUGGUCUCGCGUCUGAUUAGCUAGUUGGUGAGGUAACGGCUCACCAAGGCGACGAUCAGUAGCCGGUCUGAGAGGAUGAACGGCCACAUUGGGACUGAGAUACGGCCCAG
rnacentral:rRNA from 1 species